rnacentral:rRNA from 1 species
AUUGAACGCUGGCGGCAUGCUUUACACAUGCAAGUCAAACGGUAACAGGCCGCAAGGUGCUGACGAGUGGCGAACGGGUGAGUAAUGCAUCGGUACGUGCCCAGUCGUGGGGGAUAACUGCUCGAAAGAGCAGCUAAUACCGCAUACGAUCUAUGGAUGAAAGCGGGGGACCGUAAGGCCUCGCGCGAUUGGAGCGGCCGAUGUCAGAUUAGGUAGUUGGUGGGGUAAAGGCUCACCAAGCCAACGAUCUGUAGCUGGUCUGAGAGGACGACCAGCCACACUGGGACUGAGACACGGCCCAGACUCCUACGGGAGGCAGCAGUGGGGAAUUUUGGACAAUGGGGGCAACCCUGAUCCAGCAAUGCCGCGUGCAGGAAGAAGGCCUUCGGGUUGUAAACUGCUUUUGUACGGAACGAAACGGUCUGGGUUAAUACCCUGGGCUAAUGACGGUACCGUAAGAAUAAGCACCGGCUAACUACGUGCCAGCAGCCGCGGUAACAC